GACGAACGCUGGCGGCGUGCUUAACACAUGCAAGUCGAACGGAAAGGCGCUGCUUUCGUGGGGUGUUCGAGUGGCGCACGGGUGUGAAACACGUGAGUAUGCUGCCCUUGGGUUUGGGAUAACUUCAGGAAACUGGGGCUAAUACCGGAUAGGAGCUGCUGCUGCAUGGUGGGGGUUGGAAAGUUUCGGCGGUUGGGGAUGGACUCGCGGCUUAUCAGCUUGUUGGUGGGGUAGUGGCUUACCAAGGCUUUGACGGGUAGCCGGCCUGAGAGGGUGACCGGCCACAUUGGGACUGAGAUACGGCCCAGACUCCUACGGGAGGCAGCAGUGGGGAAUAUUGCACAAUGGGCGGAAGCCUGAUGCAGCAACGCCGCGUGCGGGAUGACGGCCUUCGGGUUGUAAACCGCUUUCGCCUGUGACGAAGCGUGAGUGACGGUAAUGGGUAAAGAAGCACCGGCUAACUACGUG
rnacentral:rRNA from 1 species